rnacentral:sRNA from 1 species
GCUGCGGCAAAUCCGCAGCCGGGUUUAGCAGCUCGAAGCACAAGGCGCACCAGCGCCCAUCGUCGAUGCCGGCGCUUUUUU